AGCGAACGCUGGCGGCAGGCUUAACACAUGCAAGUCGAACGCCCCGCAAGGGGAGUGGCAGACGGGUGAGUAACACGUGGGAACGUACCCUUUGGUUCGGAAUAACUUGGGGAAACUCAAGCUAAUACCGGAUAAGCCCUUAUGGGGAAAGGUUUACUGCCGAAGGAUCGGCCCGCGUCUGAUUAGCUAGUUGAUGAGGUAAUGGCUCACCAAGGCGACGAUCAGUAGCUGGUCUGAGAGGAUGAUCAGCCACACUGGGACUGAGACACGGCCCAGACUCCUACGGGAGGCAGCAGUGGGGAAUAUUGGACAAUGGGGGCAACCCUGAUCCAGCCAUGCCGCGUGAGUGAUGAAGGCCUUAGGGUUGUAAAGCUCUUUUACCCGGGACGAUAAUGACUGUACCGGGAGAAUAAGCCCCGGCUAACUUCGUGCCAGCAGCCGCCGCGG
rnacentral:rRNA from 1 species